GCAGAAUCUGAUCCUCAGAAGAGGGAUGAGUUUUUACAGAGAUUGAUGGAGCUGCCUAAUCAGAAAUGGGCUGAAAUUAUAGGACAGGCACGCUUAAGCGUUGAUUUCCUGAAGGAUCAAGAUGUGAUAAGGACGGUGUUGAAUAUUGUGUGUAUAGAUUCUUGGCUCCUACUUCACUUCUGUGAUGUAUGUGGAGCAUUGGUGUGAGGAGAAUUUCAGGAGCCUAACACUGGGCAGCCCAGAUUUUUCUGACAUUGAAAUGAGCAACAUCAUGAGGAGGUUUGCCUUGGAAACCUGAGGAGAUUUCAAUUUAGAGAGCUUCAGAUGGCAACAAACAACUUUAGCAGCAAGUACUUGGUUGGAUGAUGAAUUGAAGGAUGGAGCAAGUUUCAUGCAUGAUUUACUUUUGUGUAUCUUGUAAUGUUUCUGUUUUUCAUUUUUAAAGUAAAAAAUAUUCAAGAUUAUAAAACUUUAUUAUGUUAUGCUUUCAAAUUUAAGUUAGAACUAAGAUCUCAUGAAGUAGACAUAUUCAUGGUUUGAAUUAGUUAUUGUUUAAUGUAAUACUUGUGGUUUAUCAAUCUAUUGAGAAUUACAUUU